AACGAACGCUGGCGGCAUGCCUAACACAUGCAAGUCGAACGAAGGCUUCGGCCUUAGUGGCGCACGGGUGCGUAACGCGUGGGAAUCUGCCCUUUGGUUCGGAAUAACAGCUGGAAACGGCUGCUAAUACCGGAUGAUGACGAAAGUCCAAAGAUUUAUCGCCAGAGGAUGAGCCCGCGUUGGAUUAGGUAGUUGGUGGGGUAAAGGCCUACCAAGCCGACGAUCCAUAGCUGGUCUGAUAGGAUGAUCAGCCACACUGGGACUGAGACACGGCCCAGACUCCUACGGGAGGCAGCAGUGGGGAACAUUGGACAAGGGGCGCAAGCCUGAUCCAGCAAUGCCGCGUGAGUGAUGAAGGCCCUAGGGUUGUAAAGCUCUUUUACCCGGGAAGAGAAUGACUGUACCGGGAGAAUAAGCCCCGGCUAACUCCGUG
rnacentral:rRNA from 1 species